rnacentral:rRNA from 1 species
UACGUAGGGUGCGAGCGUUAAUCGGAAUUACUGGGCGUAAAGCGUGCGCAGGCGGUGAUGUAAGACAGGUGUGAAAUCCCCGGGCUUAACCUGGGAACUGCAUUUGUGACUGCAUCGCUGGAGUGCGGCAGAGGGGGAUGGAAUUCCGCGUGUAGCAGUGAAAUGCGUAGAUAUGCGGAGGAACACCGAUGGCGAAGGCAAUCCCCUGGGCCUGCACUGACGCUUAUGCACGAAAGCGUGGGGAGCAAACAGG